AGUCGAACGGUGAUAGCAAUAUCAUAGUGGCGCACGGGUGCGUAACACGUAUGCAACCUACCUAUUAUUGGGGGAUAGCCUUUGGAAACGGAGAUUAAUACCGCAUAAUACGAUUGACUGGCAUCGGUUGAUUGUUAAAGCUUCGGCGAUAAUAGAUGGGCAUGCGCCCAAUUAGUUAGUUGGUUAGGUAACGGCUGACCAAGACGAUGAUUGGUAGGGGAUCUGAGAGGAUAAUCCCCCACACUGGCACUGAGAUACGGGCCAGACUCCUACGGGAGGCAGCAGUAGGGAAUAUUGGGCAAUGGGCGGAAGCCUGACCCAGCCAUGCCGCGUGCAGGAAGAAGGCGUUAUGCGUUGUAAACUGCUUUUUUAUAGGAAGAAGGAUCCCUUGCGAGGGAAGGUGACGGUACUAUAAGAAUAAGCACCGGCUAACUCCGUGCCAGCAGCCGCGGUAAUACGGAGGGUGCAAGCGUUGUCCGGAUUUAUUGGGUUUAAAGGGUGCGUAGGCGGUUUAUUAAGUCAGUGGUGAAAGACGGUCGCUCAACGAUUGCGGUGCCAUUGAUACUGGUAGACUUGAGUGAGAUUGAGGUAGCUGGAAUGGAUAGUGUAGCGGUGAAAUGCAUAGAUAUUAUCCAGAACACCGAUUGCGAAGGCAGGUUACUAAGUCUUAACUGACGCUGAGGCACGAAAGUGUGGGGAUCAAACAGGAUUAGAAUACCCUGGUAGUCCACACUGUAAACGA
rnacentral:rRNA from 1 species